GUGAAAUGAUGAAGCAGUUUAUCCAUUCGCUGAGUUCUGCUGGUGCUUUCUCCCUCUGUGGCUCUCGUGGCUGUUCUAGUCGCGAAGGUUCUUGGCCACCUGCUCCUCAGUUCCGGUUCUGGUGUUCUACUGGUUCCGAGUCCAGGGGGUGCUGGUGUGCUUGCAGGGGAGUAGCCUGGCCCCCACUAAGACGAGUGUAAACGGCUGAUUAC